rnacentral:rRNA from 1 species
UACGUAGGUGGCAAGCGUUGUCCGGAAUUAUUGGGCGUAAAGCGCGCGCAGGCGGUCCUUUAAGUCUGAUGUGAAAGCCCACGGCUCAACCGUGGAGGGUCAUUGGAAACUGGGGGACUUGAGUGACAGAGAGAAGAGUGGAAUUCCACGUGUAGCGGUGAAAUGCGUAGAGAUCGGAAAGAACACCAACGGCGAAAGCACUCUGCUGGGCCGACACUGACACUGAGAGACGAAAGCUAGGGGAGCGAAUGGG